ACACUGUCAAGAUAUCUGCAAAGUGCAAUUUCAACAUGUACCCUUAACUGAAAAUCAUAGAGAACUGUGAUUGAAAUUUGGUUUUGAUAAAAUUAUUUUUUUUAAUGUAGGAAAUAAUGUUUUGUUCUAAAUAAAGAUAGUUCUACACAACAGCUUCUAUAUCCCCCCCCAAUAAAAACAAAUUCAGAGAUAAGUAAAGGGGUUAAAGGAAUGUGCAUUUUUACUCAGACUGUGUUAUAUUGUGGAUACUGGAAGAUGUACAGCUUUUUGAUUUGAACAACGAAGUGCAUAAAUUAGAAACUUCCAAGUGCACUGGUUUUGGAAGAGAUAUAUAUAUAUAAAAUACAUUUAUUCUGUCAGGCUAAAAAUAAAGUAUGAUCUUUAUGAUUCUUCUCUCUAAUUAUAGAAAGAUAAAUAAUGUAUUACCAUGAAAAAGAUUUCUAAGAACAUAGCAGUUGCAGGGUUCCUAAUGUGUAUUUUGAAGCACACAUCUGAAUAAAUUGCUUAGAUAGAAAACAAAUUAUCACAUGAGUAAAAUUCAGUGUUCAAAUUUUUAGAACACUGUUCACCUAUUGUAUCACCAAAUAAAGGUUAUGCUGCUUGUUUUUCUUUUGUGCCUUUUUUUCCCCAAUUGAGAUGAAGCAAUCUGAUUAGCUAAGUUUACAACUCUAACAGUCCAAGCUCUGUUGAAUUUAGAAGACCUGUUUGGAAAAAGUGUAAAAAUUAUGUUCUUCCGUAUCUUCUCAUCUAGUGGUAAAUCGUUUGUGCCAGUUGGAGAAUUGUUAUUAAGUAGUGACCUUGGGAUUAAGGUAGGAUGGGGACACUCCAGCGGCUUUCAGGUUGUUGCUCACUGUCUAAUCACUAAUGAAAUUCUUUUCACACUUGAGAAAUCUCUAAAUGCUUUACAGUGGAUAUUAGAUGAAUGUUCUAUCCAAAAGAUGUAGCUUUGGAAGCACAGUGGUUGCCCAAGGUCCAUUGUAGUAUGAGGAUGGAGUGCUAUCUACUGAAAUAAUACUCAUACAGAUAUGUAGUAUGUAAUAUUUUCUAAUAAAUUCUUUUGAUAAACAGAGUGUAGUGUCUUU
rnacentral:lncRNA from 1 species